UGGGGAAUAUUGCACAAUGGGCGCAAGCCUGAUGCAGCGACGCCGCGUGGAGGAAGAAGGUUUUCGGAUUGUAAACUCCUGUUAAGUGGGAAGAAAGAACGGACCCUAAUAUGGUCUGGAGAUGACGGUACCACUAGAGAAAGCACCGGCAAACUUCGUGCCAGCAGCCGCGGUAAUACGAAGGGUGCAAGCGUUAUUCGGAGUUACUGGGCGUAAAGAGCGCGUAGGCGGUUUAUUAAGUCAUUUGUUAAAGAUCCCGGCUUAACCGGGAAAAGGCAGGUGAGACUGGUAGACUAGAGUGUAAGAGAGAGAAGCGGAAUUCUCGGAGUAGCGGUAAAAUGCGUAGAUCUCGAGAGGAACACCGGAAGCGAAGGCGGCUUCUUGGCUUACAACUGACGCUCAAGUGCGAAAGCGUGGGGAGCAAACAGG
rnacentral:rRNA from 1 species